GACGAACGCUGGCGGCGUGCUUAACACAUGCAAGUCGAACGGUGAUGCUCCAGCUUGCUGGAGUGGAUCAGUGGCGAACGGGUGAGUAACACGUGAGCAACCUGCCCCAGACUCUGGAAUAAGCGCUGGAAACGGCGUCUAAUACUGGAUACGAAACUGGCCCGCAUGGGCAUGGUUUGGAAAGUUUUUCGGUUUGGGAUGGGCUCGCGGCCUAUCAGCUUGUUGGUGAGGUAAUGGCUCACCAAGGCGACGACGGGUAGCCGGCCUGAGAGGGCGACCGGCCACACUGGGACUGAGACACGGCCCAGACUCCUACGGGAGGCAGCAGUGGGGAAUAUUGCACAAUGGGCGAAAGCCUGAUGCAGCGACGCCGCGUGAGGGAUGACGGCCUUCGGGUUGUAAACCUCUUUUUCAGCAGGGAAGAAGCGAAAGUGACGGUACCUGCAGAAGAAGCACCGGCUAACUACGUGCCAGCGCCGCGGUAA
rnacentral:rRNA from 1 species